rnacentral:rRNA from 1 species
GUGAGGAAUAUUGGUCAAUGGACGAGAGUCUGAACCAGCCAAGUCGCGUGAAGGAAGACGGUUCUAUGAAUUGUAAACUUCUUUUGUGCAGGAAUAAAGUGGGUUACGUGUAACCUUUUGUAUGUACUGUACGAAUAAGGAUCGGCUAACUCCGUGCCAGCAGCCGCGGUAAUACGGAGGAUCCGAGCGUUAUCCGGAUUUAUUGGGUUUAAAGGGUGCGUAGGUGGAUUGAUAAGUCAGCGGUGAAAGUUUGCAGCUUAACUGUAAAAUAGCCGUUGAAACUGUAGGUCUUGAGUGCAAAGGAGGUAGGCUGAAUGUGUUGUGUAGCGGUGAAAUGCUUAGAUAUAACACAGAACACCGAUUGCGAAGGCAGCUUACUGGGAUGCAACUGACACUGAUGCACGAAAGCGUGGGUAUCAAACAGGAUUAGAAACCCUUGUAGUCC